rnacentral:rRNA from 1 species
GAUGAACGCUGGCGGCGUGCCUAAUACAUGCAAGUCGAGCGAACAGACGAGGAGCUUGCUUCUCUGACGUUAGCGGCGGACGGGUGAGUAACACGUGGAUAACCUACCUAUAAGACUGGGAUAACUUUGGGAAACCGGAGCUAAUACCGGAUAAUAUAUUGAACCGCAUGGUUCAAUAGUGAAAGACGGUUUUGCUGUCACUUAUAGAUGGAUCCGCGCCGCAUUCGCUAGUUGGUAAGGUAACGGCUUACCAAGGCGACGAUGCGUAGCCGACCUGAGAGGGUGAUCGGCCACACUGGAACUGAGACACGGUCCAGACUCCUACGGGAGGCAGCAGUAGGGAAUCUUCCGCAAUGGGCGAAAGCCUGACGGAGCAACGCCGCGUGAGUGAUGAAGGUCUUCGGAUCGUAAAACUCUGUUAUUAGGGAAGAACAAAUGUGUAAGUAACUAUGCACGUCUUGACGGUACCUAAUCAGAAAGCCACGGCUAACUACGUG